UUGCUAAAAUUGCUGACGACCGGCGCACGGGUGAGUAACACGUAUGCAACCUACCUUUUACAGGGGAAUAGCCCAGAGAAAUUUGGAUUAAUGCCCCAUAGUAUUCUAGUCUCGCAUGAGACUAGAAUUAAAGCUUCGGCGGUAAAAGAUGGGCAUGCGUUCUAUUAGUUAGUUGGUGAGGUAACGGCUCACCAAGACUACGAUAGAUAGGGGUUCUGAGAGGAUAGUCCCCCACACUGGUACUGAGACACGGACCAGACUCC
rnacentral:rRNA from 1 species